rnacentral:rRNA from 2 species
GUUUAGGAGUGAGCGCGUCGGGUUCGGAAGCGGCGGCAAGUCCCCCUGACCGGGGCCUGUCCGUAGCGGGUGCGAGGCCCAUAGCCGCCGCGGCCGUCUCGAACGCGAUCUCCUGGGAGUCGGGUUGCUUGGGAGUGCAGCCCUAAUCGGGUGGUAAACUCCACCUAAGGCUAAAUACUGCCGUGAGACCGAUAGCAAACAAGUACCGUGAGGGAAAGUUGCAAAGAACUUUGAAGAGAGAGUUCAAGAGUACGUGAAACUGCUCAGAGGUAAACGGGUGGGCCCUCGAAAUCCUGUGGCGGGAGGAUUCAGUCUGUUUCGGCGGACGCCUUGGAGGAAAUCGUGGUAGGGCUUCCGCGGAAUUGCGGGCCGUCCUCCUCGUGCGACCAUCGUCGAUCCAGACGCAUUUGUCUCCCGUCCCGAGGACGCUGCAGCCGGUUUGGGAGCGCAAGCGUGACGGCCUGAAGGUCGGGAAGUCGCAGGUGGCCGGUGGCGCCGCACUCAGCGGGCUGCCGGUUGUUAGCUUUCCCGUCAGUGGCUCGUCCCCAGACCGUGGUGUCGCGAGUCCCAGAAGGGACUCCACGUCUCCGGCCCCAGAGCCAGCGGAACAGAUCCCGGACAGGGCCUCAGGCUUCGGCCGCCGCACUACCACGGAGUGGCCGGCAUGAUGCCGGGGCCCGCUCCGCCGCGGACGGAUCCGCGGGGUACAGGAGGCUCGCAGCGAGUAGGUCGGUCACCCACCCGACCCGUCUUGAAACACGG